GAACCAGCUUGCACCCUGAGAAGUCUUAAAAUCCAGUCUGCCCUUUUCUGAGCUUUUCGUUUCUGUGGGCUGUGUCUGGUGUGGAGCAGUGGAUGUGGAUAUGAGAAAUAAGCAGGCUGAAGGCUACUGAGAACUGGACUGGUGGCAAUGGCUCAGAAAUGCACAUCACAAGGGCUGGGAACCCACAAAUCAAACCAAUGGAAACUGAUACAGAAUCUGGGGAAUAUACAGUUCUUCAGAGCCUUUAAAAUGGAUGAAGGGGAAAGAUAAGUCUCUAAUUCAUGUACCAUUUGCAGCCUACCAUCCUGCACAAGAGGGAAAGUUCAGAGCAAAAAACCAAAACCCUGUACAGUUUAAAAGAAAUUGCUGAGGUGUUAAAUAAGGAAGAAAUAGAACUUCUCUUCCACAGUUUGACUCUGAAAUGUGAGUUAAACAUAAAGGAAAGACAUACUGAAGCACUGGGGAGACUUCUGACC